UGGGACGUAGCUCAGAGGUAGAGCACUUGCCUAGCAUGUGUGACACCCUGGGUUCCAUCCCAGCACCACAA
rnacentral:tRNA from 1 species